UUUUUGUCAAAUUCUUGUAUUAUCACAUUCCAUCUUUUUCCAAUGUCAAAUCCUUGUAAUGUCAUUUUUGGUACAUUUCAUUUAUCAAGAUCAAUAUACUUAACGGUCAAAUCCUGAAUAUAGCUGAAAUAGCUGAAAAACAAAUAUCUCAAACAAAACAAACAAAUUAGUAUUAUAUACAUAUGUACAAAUAACAAUUAGAUUUCAUUUAUAGUAGAAACAAUAAAGCCAUAAACUGCCGAGAAGCAUUCUUGAAUGCUUAAUAUUUGCUGAAGGGAGCGCGGGAUAUCUUCAGCAGUUUUAAAAAUACUUAAAAGUUGAUCUACAAGGACCAUCCUUUGAAUACUAAACAUUCACACCAAUGUGGGCUGGUGUCCAGAAGAGGACUAUUUGCUUGUUUUGUGACAGCAAGUGAUACAACUCCCUUAAUUUAUAUAUAAUAUAAAAAACCUUGCAACAGAUAAGAAUUAAUAUUGGCAGUCCUGUUAUUAGUGUGCCUCAGUUUAACAAGAAGUGGAUGAUUACUAAUGGAGAGCAACCUUGCAAAAAAUUUUGAUUGUACCUGUAGUGAUAAUAAAAUUGAGGAUAGUUUUUCCAGAUUUACAUUAUUGAAUGCCCCUACAAUGUCUAAAAAAACUCCAACUAAUACUUUAUUCUCGGAAUGAGCAUCAUGGAUAUCCAGACAGAGAUGACGUAAACUCUCACAAGCAGAACGACCACAACGAAAGCCGAACUGAUUGUAAGUAGAAACAAUAAAGCCAUAAACUGCCGAGAAGCAUUCUUGAAUGCUUAAUAUUUGCUGAAGGGAGCGUGGGAUAUCUUCAGCAGUUUUAAAAAUACUUAAAAGUUGAUCUACAAGGACCAUCCUUUGAAUACUAAACUGUGGACAAUCAAAAAAUAUAUGUUCAAGGGUUUCAUCAGCACUAUUGCAAUAUCUACAAGUUGAAGAGUCAAAAACACCAAUCCUAAAAAGAAAAACCUUGCAACAGAUAAGAAUUAAUAUUGGCAGUCCUGUUAUUAGUGUGCCUCAGUUUAACAAGAAGUGGAUGAUUACUAAUGGAGAGCAACCUUGCAAAAAAUUUUGAUUGUACCUGUAGUGAUAAUAAAAUUGAGGAUAGUUUUUCCAGAUUUACAUUAUUGAAUGCCCCUACAAUGUCUAAAAAAACUCCAACUAAUACUUUAUUCUCGGAAUGAGCAUCAUGGAUAUCCAGACAGAGAUGACGUAAACUCUCACAAGCAGAACGACCACAACGAAAGCCGAACUGAUUGUAAGGAACUAAGCGUAAUGGGACGAUAAGAAUCAGCCAAAUUUGAGUCUUUGCCAGGUUUUAAUAUUGGUACCAGACAAUCAGUUUUCCAAUCCUCUGGGAUAAUAGAAGACGACCAUAGACUUUUUUUUUUUUUGGUUAAAUUCGUUCCAUUCAGAACAGGCAAAGAGAACAAAGCCCAUACAGCCAUGUCUUUUGUAUUUUGUGUCUUAAAUAUUUUUAUAUAUCAGGCCGGAGCCAUGUCUUAUUCUUAUUUUUUUUCAUUGAGUCAUGUUUUUUAAGUUAGGCCGAAGCCAUGUCUUCUUUUAAAAUAUUUUUUUUUGUCAAAUUCUUGUAUUAUCACAUUCCAUCUUUUUCCAAUGUCAAAUCCUUGUAAUGUCAUUUUUGGUACAUUUCAUUUGUCAAGAUCAAUAUACUUAACGGUCAAAUUCUGAAUAUAGCUGAAAAACAAAUAUCUCAAACAAAACAAACAAAUUAGUAUUAUAUACAUAUGUACAAAUAACAAUUAGAUUUCAUUUAUAGUAGAAACAAUAAAGCCAUAAACUGCCGAGAAGCAUUCUUGAAUGCUUAAUAUUUGCUGAAGGGAGCGCGGGAUAUCUUCAGCAGUUUUAAAAAUACUUAAAAGUUGAUCUACAAGGACCAUCCUUUGAAUACUAAACUGUGGACAAUCAAAAAAUAUGUUCAAGGGUUUCAUCAGCACUAUUGCAAUAUCUACAAGUUGAAGAGUCAAAAACACCAAUCCUAAAAAGAAAAACCUUGCAACAGAUAAGAAUUAAUAUUGGCAGUCCUGUUAUUAGUGUGCCUCAGUUUAACAAGAAGUGGAUGAUUACUAAUGGAGAGCAACCUUGCAAAAAAUUUUGAUUGUACCUGUAGUGAUAAUAAAAUUGAGGAUAGUUUUUCCAGAUUUACAUUAUUGAAUGCCCCUACAAUGUCUAAAAAAACUCCAACUAAUACUUUAUUCUCGGAAUGAGCAUCAUGGAUAUCCAGACAGAGAUGACGUAAACUCUCACAAGCAGAACGACCACAACGAAAGCCGAACUGAUUGUAAGGAACUAAGCGUAAUGGGACGAUAAGAAUCAGCCAAAUUUGAGUCUUUGCCAGGUUUUAAUAUUGGUACCAGACAAUCAGUUUUCCAAUCCUCUGGGAUAAUAGAAGACGACCAUAGACUAUUUAACAAACUUAGGAAAAUAGGUAGAUUUUGAACAUUUAAAAGUUUAAACAUUCUAUAGGAAAGCCAAUCCAGGCCACAUGAGGAAUCUUUUCUAGAAGCUAAUGCAGACUUUAACUCUUGUAAAGUAAAACGACCAAUCAUGUAUGAAUUAUCACUAUUUACUCCAAGAACAUUAUCUAUACUUAUCUGUUGUGAAACAGUAUCAGGUUGCUGUGAAAAGGAAUGUUGUUCGAGGAAAUAGAGGGUUCAUGUUCGUCUCUUACGAGAGUAAAUCUUGUGAUAGUGGGCAGAUGAUAACUGCCUAAAGAUUCCUGAUGAACUUGCCAUUCACAAGAAAGAAACAAAGAAGAAGAUACCAUAGUUAAAUCUAGACUGUUCGGUUUCCAAAUAUGAGAGCCUAUAGUUGUUGGUUGACCAUUAUUUAAAAGUAUUAAGUCAUUGUCAUCCAUGGAAUCCAUAAUAGCUCUGCCCCGAGAAUCUAUACGACUACAACCCCAGAAAGUAUGAUGGGCAUUAAAAUCGCCUGCAAUUAUUAACGGUUUCGGAAUAGUAUACAAUAAACGAUCUAACUUCGCCUUUUCAAAACCAGGAAAACUAUUACCAGGACUAUAAAAACUAACCAAAGAAAUGGAUUUACGUUUUAGUUUAAUAACAAUUACUACAUUUUGUAACGAAUCAUCGUAAAAAGUAUCGAGCUUAGAGAAAUUUAUACCAUUUUUAAUUAAUAUUGCUACGCCGUUAUGGUCAUUACCGCAGUCAUUCCUAAUAAUGGUAUAACCACGUAUAUUAAAUUGAAUGCUUGGCUUGAGCCAAGUUUCUGAAAUAAGAGCAACAUGUAUAUUAUUUUGGUAUAAAAAAUUUUGGAACUCAAGUCUUUUACUUAACAGACUUUGAGCGUUCCACUGUACAAUAUUUAAGAUUCGAUGGUUGAAUGUGACGAUUUGCUAUUUUUAUUCUGAAUGGUUUCUUUAAUAGCUGAGCUAAUAAAUUGUGAACUUAUACUAAUAUUUUGAGUUUUAUUUAAAGUAAUAACUUUUACUAUAGAUUCAGUUAGUAGAGUCAUUGCUUCAGAGUUUGAAAGUAUGGCUUGGAUUACUUCUUGAGUAUUCAGAUGUUUGUUUAAUGAUGGAAAAUUUAAUGGAUUUUUUAAGGUGUCAGCGUAAGACUUGGGUUUACUGUUUGCAAUUUUCUUUUGUCUUAUAGGGCACUGGCCAGAGAUGGCAAUGUGAUUGCCAUUGCAAUUAAUGCACUUAGCUUUUUCAAUAUUAACCUUGCAUUCUUUGAAAGAAUGCCCCUCUGUGCAUAUGGAGCAUCGUGCUGAGUUCUUACAAAAUUUAGCUAAAUGAUCAUACCGUAAACAUUUAAAACACUGCUUUAUCGGUGGGACAUAUGCAGAGACGGGCAGACGCCACAUCUUUAUAUGCACAUAGUCCGGCAGUGACGUAGCUGACGCAAAAGUUAUUACAACACUCUGAGUAGGUUGCAGGGUGAAGGUGUUAUUUUCUUGUCUGACUUUACGCAUUAUGCGUCGGACAGAAAUUACUUUUUUUGUUGUAGAAAUAGCUUUAUAUAUUUUUUGAUUGGAUAAAUGAGUGGGUACCGAAGAGAUAACUCCUGCAAGUUCGGUGGCCCCUGCUGGUAUUGAAGCCUUAAGGCGUUGCUCUUUAAGGAAUGUAGCAUUGUCUAAAAAUGCAUUUGCUAAAUUCGCACGUUGGAACACAACACCGACCUUAUAUUUGUUGAUUUUCUUUAAGUAUUGUAUGCCUUUUACAGAGCGUAUGAAACUAGUACUUAGAGACAUCAUGUCCCUAUUGCCGAGUGGAACUUCAUUAGUACUUUCAACAAAUACAAUGAAUUCGUACUUGGCUUCCGCAUCUUCAGGGUAUCGUCGACAAUAAUCAGCGACCCUAAAGGGAGCGAAGGCAUCUGCAUCCUGCAAUGCUGGCGAUUCUUCAUAAUCAGAAUCGCUGCUUGUACUGGAAAGCAAGGACUCACCCAUAAUAGAACACAGA